UAUAGCAUCUUUUGUAAUAUAUUAUUUUAGGUCGUUAGUAUUUUGUACAAUUGUAUUCCUUGUAUAAUAUGUAAUAUUCCUUCAAUAUAUUUAUAAAUUUACUCUUCUCCUCGUGUUCUGUAAAUUAAUACAUCCGUAUCCAUCACGUCGUCAACUACUAUUCUACCAUGCACGUACAUACUCCUUGAUCUUCAACUAGAGCCUUAAGCUGCCUGCAACAUCUGGUUCCCUCCAUCAUUUGUUGUUCUUGUCGGAGAAUCCAUUAGAACCUUCACACGGAACAUAGCCUACACAAAACAAAUCGAUUACAACUCACAUGGAAAUGAGUAGUUCUCAUAUAUAUAUAUAUAGGGAAGACAUUUGGAACGGCCGGUAGUCGGAACGGUCACUGGUGCGGACCUCCGAUCCGGCCGUCCAUCUCCACAACAAAAAUCUCGACCGUUCAUUGAAUCGAAAUCGGACGGUCGUUGCUCUGUUCGGCGAGCGGAGGUUCCCCGGAGAUGAGUUCCGCGGAACCGCGAUCGAGUUCCGCGGGACUCGAUCCGCGGAACUCGCGAUGGGUUCGGCGGAACCGAAAUCGAGUUCCGCGGAACCGCGAUCGAGUUCCGCGGAACUCGCGAUGGGUUCCGCGGAACCGAAAUCGAGUUCUGCGGAACUCGCAAUCGAAACGAUGGGCACGGAACGGUAGAUUGGUCCGCAAUCGAGGUCCGAUAGGCAGGGCAUGGGACGACGGUAGAUUGCCUAUCGGAACUGGUACCGACGGUAGAUUGCCGACGGCAGGGCAUGGUACCGGUCUGUUGCGGACAGGGUCGCACCUGAAUUUCUCUGUAUAUAUAUAUAUAUAUCAUUUACCUUUUUAUCAGACCCAAAUUCGAUAACAUCCGAUGGACGAAAUCGAACUGGGAAGUUUGGUGGAACACGGUAUCUUCUUCCUUCGUUACUGCAUAAAAUCAAUAUAAUUAUCAAUUUCAAAACGACUGUAUUACUGUCGACUGAAUUCUGAAACUUACUCGGAUAGCCAGGUACCAUGUUGACUGUUCAUAUCGGUCAAAAAGAAUGCUUUGUUUUUACAAUGAAUACGAGCGUGAGUUUGCGAGACUUUGUCUGAAGAUAAAGUUAUUGACAACUCCGGCAAACUCGUAUUUGAAGCAUUCCUGGAUUGAUCAGAAAUCAAUUAAGCUAUCAAUUUAUAAAUUAAUACUACUUGAAUAUUCUUGAACUCGACUGUAAUUUGCUACGUACCCUACUAUGUAAGAUCUACCAUCGUUUCUGAUUAUAUUAAUUGGCUGCAGAUCAUCAGCUGUUGAUCCACUUCUCAUUGGGAAGAGAUACCACCUAUAAAUUAAAUUAAAUUAUUCACCAAGAAAUUGAUAAUCACAUGCAUGCAUAUGAGUUAAUUCAACUGCUAGUAUAUAUGUAUGAGUUAAUUAUCUACAUACUCUCCGCAAAGAGCACGCUCCAAUUCAUCGUCAUCUUCGAACCAUGUUCUUAACUGAUUAUCCGCCUUAUCAGUCAAUCGACAUGAAAGUGAUCUUCCUUCCAGCUUGGAGCUGCAGAAAUUAAAGUAGAAGAGAUCUAGAAUAAUUAAUUGGAUUCUGAUGAGAACUGAAGUAUAUUAUAAUCGAUCGAUUUACCUGUUUCCACCAAGAAUCCACGACAGCAUCAUUGGCAUUCCAAGACUUAUGAAAAAUCUCCCCCCAACUCUUCCCGGGUGUGGUAUUCGCAACUUGGUCAAGAACUGCGGCAUGAUCAGUCGAUAUUGAAUAUAUAGAUUUUGUCAAAGGUCCGAGACUUCAAUUGAGUUGUAGCUAUAAUAAAUUAACAUACCGACAACGGUCCAAGUCCGACGCCAAGAUACGGCCGGUAAGUGGUCGCCAUAUUGGCAGCCAUCCUAGCCAAUCCAUAUAUUAUGCUCACACGUAAUUUCCUUGCAUUCUCAUAACUGGAUCGAAGAAAUUAACAUAAAAAUUAAGAUCAUAUGAUAUCAAAUAUAUAAAUCCUUCCAUAUUUAACGAUUGAUUAAAUACUUCGUUAAUUACCUUCUCAGAGUAGACGCAAUGUCUAUUGCAGACCCAGAAUCCACGCUCUUGUGGAAUGCCUUCUCAAGCUCCAUUGCCAGCUGGUAGCUAUCCUAUAAAAAAGAUUAAUUCAAGGUGUGUUUAGCAAUUUGUGUAAUUGGAUUAUGGUCGAAAGUCGAAAUGUAUGUACCUCAAUAGCCAUACAGCCCCCUUGACCCAAGUUGGGUUGCAUGGCAUGAACUGAAUCUCCAAGUAAAGUGACGCGACCUUUUCCCCAAGUGAAUACUGGUGGCUUGUCAUAUAUGUCACGACGAAGAACAGCUUCUUCUUUCGUGGCAUGUAUAAGGUCAAUCACGUUGUCGCACCAACCAUCGAAUAUAUCGAACAGUCUUUUUUUCAUGCCAUCAGCAACAUCAGAUCCGCCGGCCGGCUCCUUGUGAAACGCGUACCACUGCAUUCUUCCGGCACCCACGUCCGAAGAAACGAAGUACUGCUUGUGACCCAGAAAAACUCGAUACCCGACGGUUUCGAUGUCCGGCGGUACAAAAUCUGCAAUGCCGGUGUAGCAUGUGUAACCCGAGUACGAUGCUUCUGACGGACCGAGAAGCAGUUUGCGAACCUGUAGUCCAAAUUAAAGAGUGUUUGAUAAGUAAGUAGGUACAGUACAGGUUAGCUAAAAAGAAGAAGAAGAAUGGCGAGACAGAACCUUUGAACGGAUACCGUCGGCACCGAUGAGAAGAUCGCCUUCAUGCUGUUCUCCGUUUUCUAGUGUGACUGUAACUUUAUUUCCAUUGUCGACGAAAUCGACAACGUUGGAACCAUUUAGAAUGGCGUCGGCCCCAACUGCCUUGGCUAGAGUUUUUUGCAGAGUCAUCCGACUUAUCACUCUCGUUACUGGAAGUCCUCUUGACACCGCCGGAGUAAAGGUGUCGAAUUUGGUGUACCAAUUACCAGAUAUUCCAUCCACGAGACCAUUGAUCCUAUCACCUGUAAUGCAACCGGAAUUCAUAAUCUCAUCUGCAACAUCCAAAUCAAUAGCUUCCAACGCCGCCAGAGCGUUGCUCUGAAUCUGAAUUGGACCUCUGUAUUGCCCCUCCCCUCUGAUGGCACUGAGAUCUCUCUCGAACACCAAAACGUCGAACCCUUUUCUCUUAGCGGCAAGUGCGAAAACCAACCCACCGAUUCCGCCUCCGGCAACUAAGAUCUUUGGCUUCUUCGCAGCAAGAUUCGUUUCCGGCACACUGCCAGUGUCAGAGGCCCUCACUAUCUCCCAACAAGCUCGUCUCCUCCGUCGAAUCCUCGUGUGGUUGACCAAGCAAUUGGAAACUUGGGAUUCUUCACCGAAGUGUAUGGUUUGCGAAAUUGGAAAGUGGGUUUUAGAGAGCAACGUUGGGGAAGGCAGUAUUGCACUGUGUAGUUGUGUCAUAGCCAUAUCUAUGAAGCUAGCUAUAGAAGAAGAACCGGAGAAGAAAGCAAACAAGCAAGAAAUUAACCAAAUGAGCAACUCUGAACGCACAAUCGAUGCAGGUGGAUUGAAACCAAACUUAUAUUUACCGGAAAGAUUAAAUUAUACAAACAGAUCUAGCUAGGUAAAACAGUUGGUUUAGAUAUCGUUGUUUUCGGUAGACUGAAGAUCGAGUUGGUCGGUGAUAGAUAAGUGGAUGAAGUUGUCCGUGGUGGGGUUCCAAGGAUUCCCGACCAAUAAAAUGUAUACAUAUUGAUUGGCAGAUUUUCAUUUUUGAUAAUGCAGAGAUAUUUUACUGCCAUACGUUUUGAUUUUUGAGUGAGUGAUUCAGAAGAACCGAAUUCUGACGUAAAGUCAUGGUAUUAGUAUGAGCCGUGCGGCUAGGACUACGUGGCGUUCUGCUGGUGUUGGAAGUGAGAGGUUAUGUUUUUGGUAUUGUUUAUGCCACGUGGAGAUUUUAUAUAUUCUUGAAUAGAAUUCCAGAAUUUAAUUUGAGUGACUAAAUUUUAUGCCAAAAUUUAUUAUUAUUAGAUGAGAAUCGUUAGUAAGGGUGAAAACGGGUGAGUCGUCUUAGAGCCGUCUCGUUUCGCGUCUCGAUAACCGAGCUCGGGGCAUAUUUUAGAACUGGUCUCAGGACGAAACACGAAUGGUCGUCUCGAUUCAUAUAAUAUUAUUUGAAUUUUGAAUUUUUUACAUUUUAAAGUUUAAACAUGAGCUUUAAAGUUUAAACCUGUAUUUUAGAUUUAUUUUUGUUUUUAUUUUUAAAAAAUAAGGUAUAAAGUUUUAAACCUGUAUUUUUUUUUUAAUUUUAGGCUUAUUAUUUUAAUUAUUUGGUCACCCUUCUCACCCUUAAUCGUUAGCAACUUAAAAACAUUUAAUCAAAUAAUUAGGCUGUGUGAUAUAUGACUGUGAACUGUGAUACAAUGUUCUUAUUAGUUUUGUAAAUAACUACAUCUUAAUGAAAUAGAGUUAAUUAAUACACUAUAACCUAUCGACAUCUAACGCUCCGGCUAAAGUAAGGGCCUUAGGAGGAGUUCUUAAGCCCCCGAUUUUUUUAAUAUUAGCUCCAACGAGUUGCGAACGUCAAGAUCGGAGAUGAUAAAUGGAGGUCAAUUGACGGCAGUAAUAAAAGACAGAAUAUAAAUAAAAAAUAGUUACUUGGGGUUUACUUUAGCCCUAAGUUAUAUAUAGGAGGAAUUUUUGACGCGUCAUCGCCAAAAUACGUUAAGAAAUCCAGACCAUUCAUUUUAAAUUUUACGCUUAUUAAUUUUAAUUUUUGAACACUACCAUCUUAAACUACACGUGCGUAGAUCUCGAGAGAAAAUUAAAACUCUCUGCCACCACCAUUAUAACAUUGUUGUACAGAUUGUUUUUUUGUCUGAAUCGCACCAUCAAAUGUUAUUACUUUUUCAUAUCUUACUGUAAUUUAAUAAAUGUUUAUUUGAUAUGAUAUGUAAGGUGAUGUAUUUUUAAGAGAACGAGGGGAUGUUUGAAGACGGAAGGGACGCAAAGAUUGAGUGAUGUUCGAUAAACAGUUAUAAAUAUAGAAAAUUCACUGACAGUUAUAAAAAAAUCUUAGGAUUAUCAAUGGUGAUUAUAAGAUAUUGCAUACAUAGUCUGAAUUGCAUCAUUAAUGAAAAUAUAAAUAGCUAUUUUAAACUACUAUACUACAAAUACAUAUCUUGACCAUUUAAUACGAACCGUUUUUAUUAAAAUAAAAAAUUUAAACGAUCAGGAUAUAUAUAUAUGAAUGGCGUAUUCCAGAGCACUGAAUAACAACGUAUUUGAAGUGUGCCUUAUAUAUAUAUACAACCAAAUUCACCUGCGAACGUCCGCAGGUGAGGCUGGUUGCGGAUGGAUCAUUGGAUUCGUCGGAUUUCAAAUCCGACGAACGUGAAGCCUCACCUGGAACUGACACGGUUUCAUCAAAUAUAUCCAGUUCGGCGAGCCGAACGUCCCGAUUGGGUGAGGUGCGGUACCUCACCCUCACUCCGCCAGAGUCCAUGAACCUCCGCGGACUCCGAUGACCCAUCGCGGUUCGUUCGCAGUCAUCCGUCUUGGGGAUGAACCGCAUGGGAAAUGCACCAUAUAUAUACACUCCGGUUCACAGACGCCCGCCCGUCCCCUGCGACACCUCCAUCGACGAUCGCCGGAUGCGCAUCGGUCGAUGCUCAACUACGCAGUCUGUCGUUCUGUGGUCAAUUCAUUAAAACACACUAGUCCAACACAGAUCCCAUUGCAUAGUACUACCUAUUCAGUAGCGGUAUGGUCUUUAUCGUACCUUCGCUAAUCAGUGGGCAGGCGGGGGUCAUGUCGGACACCCAAUAUCAGUUCGGAGACGUCGACGUUCCCAUCACGCGGAUGUCUUGUCGGACACCCCAUAGCCCUUCGCCGAACAUCGUUGUUCCCACCACGACCUUCUGUUCCCUCUGCGAACGGGUGUCCGAUAUACUCGAGUAUUCUUCCACAUUUCCCAAAAUUCGAAAUGCGCAAACCAUACUGAAUGUGACUGCCGGCUACUCCGACACCAGCAACGACUGGGGACUAUUGCAAGACCUCUGAUCGACAUCGGCUCCCCAUCCGCCUAUUUAAACAGGGGUGUUACGGAGUUAGAACCAUCUCCUCCACUGUGAUAGCGUUUUUCAAGAAUCUUUCCCCUCGACGACAAGGAAAGGUAUUUUUCUAGUUCACUCAGAGGUUCAUUCCUUGGGUGUUAGUGUUUAAUUUCUUAGGAAAAUUUUGACAUGCUUUCAUAGAUUUUAUUUGCCUAGAGAAUUUUUCGUUUUCUUUCAUCAUAGACAUUAUACUCCUUCUGAUUUGCACGAGUUUUCGGACCAAAUCCGAUAUUCUUAUUCUACUUCAUCAUCUUCUUCAUCAUAGUCAUGAAGGUUCUUAUUCUUCUUUAUCUUUUUAUUCGAUGGAAUCCUUCUACAAAUAUUUUGGGUGCUUCAACCUGAUCCUCCCUCGAUUUUUACUACUUCAAAUCUAGUUUUCAAAAAUUUAGAAUUCAAAUAAUGCAAUGAUAGAUUGCAAUGACUUAUAUUUAAGUUUCAGUUAGUUUAUAGUUAGGCAAUGAGUUCUAAGAAGAGAAAUGCUCCGGAGAACAACCACGUUAGGAGGAGAAGGGGUAACCUCCACGAGGUCAUUGUUAUCAGCAAUGAUGAACCAGAGAAUGGGUCUGUUGCAGAUUCACCGGAGCCCAAGCUUAUCACUCCAGGACGUCGGAUAACCAGAUCGACGUCAUCGCCCUCACGGACCUCUGGAAUGCACGGGUACUGGCCAUUCAGGAAGAGGAAGUCAGUGAUGAUGCAAGGACAGUCAUCACGUGCGAACGAACCGGUUAUGAGGUCAGAGGUCUUUAGCCAUUGCCCACCGAUGUUCGUCAACGUACCAUUACCUACAUCCACCCCCUCCUGCGUUUCAAGAACCCGUGUAACUCUUCCAAUAUCGACUAAAGAACCCGUACAGGAAAUCUACUUUACCUGAACCGAAUCAAUGCGCUUAGUGUCUACAAGGAAUACCAGAGGGACAUCCGAACUACAUGCCUUUGAUGACACCUUUACCCGUAGAUAUCUCGUCAGAUGACGACUACGAGGAAGCUUUGGAGUCUUACAAGACAAUUGGUAACACUGAUCCACAACAGUGGAAGGAUUGGUGGUUCCAGUCUUUCAAUACUCCUUCCCACUGAAUAUGAUGACUGACUAAGGGUCCGAAAUCAAAUAGAGUACUGUUAGGACAUAAUAUUUUCUAUUGCCCAAGUUAAUCAAAUGUACUCUGCGAAUGAAAUUGCUUUACUCGGCAUUAAGAUAUUCAGAUGAUGAUCUUCAAUUAGAAUGUAACCUUGAUAAAUAUGCCUUUUAACUUCAUGUACUCAUCAGAAAUUAAACAAGGACAUCAAGCUAUUAGCUAGCUCUAUAAACUAUGAAAUUUCCUAAAUUUAUACUAACUAACAAGUAAAUAUCUCGAAGUUUAAAUGAAUAACCCUAACUCCAAACUACAUGUUUUCAACAUGACUAUGUAAUUUCAGAGAGUUACCCUGAAGUUUCUAACCCUGGAAAUUCUAACAAAAUUUAUUUAGCACCAUCUCAAAGAAUACCGCUGAAAUCUUGAAAUACACCUGCAACAACUACCUAAAUGGAUAGCACUCUCAAACAGAGGUUCGAUGAGGCAUUGCUCCAACCUUUUGCUCAAUUUUCCAUGAAAGCAUUUAUUUCUUUUUGAGAUUGCUUCAACCCAAUUCGUGUCUUUCGAAGCAUCAUUGAAACAGUUAGAUUCUUCAUGUGUCGUUAUUUGUUUUAGAAAAUAUUUAAGUUGUUUACUUGUCCUAUGAUAAGAUACAUGAUUGUUCAUGGAAUGUCUUGGUUCAUAGGAAAUUGUUUUGGUUCUGAUAAUUUCUUGCCAUACAGACUUUUUUAUUGAUUAGUUUGAUUUGGGGAGGCUUUUUUUAUUUCUUGUUGUAAACCCCUUGUCCAUAGUUCCUGAUUUACAAUGUUCUCGAGCUUGUUUUUGUAUUUUCCUUUUAGUUCGGCAAAUGUUAACGAAUUUCGGUGUAAAUUUUGUUCAGAGCCUUUUGCUUCUGAAAUUUCAAUGUCGCAUUGCGGUCUUCAGUAGGAAUUCAGAACACCUGUUUUUUCAGACUCGAAAGUUUUUCCUUUUGAGUUUUCUUUUUGAUUUUUCGUAUGUAAUGCUCCAAUUUAUUAUCCAGAGCAUCUGCCUCUAAAUUUUAUGGCAAAAAUUGUUCUGAGUAAAUUCAUGCUUAUUUUCAUGAAUUCAUUAGAUUGCUCAUUUUGCUUAUUUUCUAAUGAAACAUCAUGGAGUUUGUUUUAUUUUGAGCUAUUUUUUGAAUUUUGAGUCUAGAUUUACUCAUUCUUCUUUCGAUCAAGGAAUUUUAGAUCUUGAAAUUUCUAUUCCUAACUCGAUGGAUGAUCUGAUUGCAAACACCGGAAGUAACAAUGCAAAAUCGCAAGCGGCGUGCAGAGCUAAAGGAGUUGGUGUUUCUGGCCAUUUUGAACUUAGGAGUUGUACCAUACCAUGCAUCCACAACCCCGGGAGUUGUACCAUUCACACAUUCCCUCUGAAUCUCUCCCUCAUAUCUUCUUUAAAACGAUCCCAGGUGGUUAAGAGGUUGUUGCGCCGGAGUCCUCUGAUCCACGACAAGGCUGCGCGCGUCAUAUGAAACCAUGCAAUCUGGAUGCGUGAAUCAUCGAAGAUGCCAUGGAAUAUAAAAUAUUCUCCGGCUUGAUAAAUCCAGCCCUCCGGAUCCACCCCCGUGAAUUUUGGUAGGUCCAGUUUGAUUGCCCGUGUUGCUCUACUUGCUGCGUUUGGAUCGGCUUGGUUUCGAUAUCCUCCCAAAUUAAAGUAGCUUGUAUGUCCCUGACCAUACCAGCAAUUUCCGCAACCUGCCCGGCUAAGUUCGCUAUUGAUGCGUCCUGUCGUCGUGUAACUUCUGUGAAUUUAGACGUUUAGUCUGUUAAUACAAUUCCGAUUUCUUGCCAGAUUUCGUCGAACCCAUUGCUCGUUUCAUCUGCUUCUGCCAUGUUUACAAUUCUGUAAUCGAUAUAAAGAAAAAAAAAUAAAUUACUAGUACGAUGUGCUUUCCUUUAGCGGAUUUAGUUAAGGCCUGGAACAAGCCUUGGCGUGUGAAAGUUUAUAGUCGUUUUCCGACUGUGGUAAUCUGCUCUUUGGAGAAGCCGACUGUCUAAUUCAUUGAAAGCACCAAUGUAACGUUUUGCCAACGUUGAAGGAGUAGGAUGGAAAAGAAAUCUCCCGUGGGAGCCGCCGAGCCGGUGGUUGGAAAAAGACUCUCCCGAGCCUGUGGAAACGAGAAACAGAAUUGGGUUCCAAAAUAUUCGAUGAUGGUUAACGACGAUCCUCUAUAUUAUUUAAAUGGUUGUUUAUCCAAUAAUAUCUUGCCAUGUGGCUCAUCCAAUUGUUAUUGCCUAAUAACUUUAAUUAGGUAAAACUCAUAAUCAUAAUCCGGGUUGCGCGUGCUUUGCCUGACUCGGCUGGGUUAGGUACGAGCUUCCUCGCCGUCCGCGUUCUGGUCUCCCCUGUCUUCGCUGAUGGGUUCAAAGCUAAUUCCCAAUUCUUCCGGGAGCUUCGUACCACUUGAUCCAUGUCUAACUCAACUGUAACCGAUGGUGUUCAUGGUCUGGAAUGUAAGGUUACUAAAUCACGGAAGAUGCUUUUGUACGUCCUUUUAUCAAUUCCCAAAGCAAUCUUGAAAGAGCAGCAUGAGGAAAAUAUUACUGUUUCUUUAUUUUCAAUGUUUUCAUGGAGAUCUCCAUCAGCGGAACAUUGUUCAGCUCAGUCCAGCCAGCGUAAUUCAGACAAUAUUUUAGCAAUGCUCGAUCACCGGCUACUUGUCUGGGAAUGCAUCCUUCUUCCUUACCUUCUUAGCACUUAAAUCAGGAGUUCUUCCACUGCUGAUGUAUGUAUGUAUAUUUGUGUUAUUAGAAUGAAAGAUAAAUGUUAAUUAGAAUUUUUUACCAGUCUCACAGUUUGGUCUAGUAGAUGAAAAGAAAGAAGCAACUAUAUAUUCUUCCCUUGAGCACAAAGAAAGACAUAAUCGAUUCACCAACUACAUAUAUACAAUGGGCAAAUCUUUGAACUCAGCUUUAAUCUGAUCAGACAUCUCUGCAUCUACAAGCCAUCGGAAUAUAUAUACAUCAGAGUAUCGAUCGAUCAGUCGUAGUGUCUAUGUGGAUCGAUCGGACCAAAAUGACAGAGAAAAUAUUCAUCCUCCACGGCCUACUCCUGAUCCAGUACGUUUAUCAGGCUUCUGCUAUCUCGGAACAGUCGGUAAAGGCGGAAGCAGCAGUGCCGAUCCUAACAUUAUCGCCGCCGGAAGGUAACACGACGUUCUUAGACGGUACAACCUGGUGCGUGGCUCUCCCAGAUGUAGAAGAAACGGCUCUUCAACGUGCUUUGGAUUGGGCAUGUGGGCCGGGUUCUGUGGACUGUGGUUAUAUCGAACGUGGCAGAGAAUGCUACGAACCCAACACGCUCCUGUCCCAUGCGUCCUUCGCGUUCAAUAGCUACUACCAGCAGAAUGGUAACAACGACAUUGCAUGUAAUUUUGGAGGCGUCGCUUAUGUCACCACGCAUAAUCCAAGUACGUACGUAGAAUCGUUGAGAAUUGAUCGAGAUACUACAUUAUUUACGAACCUAUUUGUUCAUCAUUCUUCUUCGUUUUCAAUUCCUUGUGUCAAUUUGCUUACAGGUCAUGGAAUUUGUCGAUUUUUGGUAUCAUCGGAGUAAGUGGUCGAUAAAAUCUUUUAAAUUAGGUUCGAUUUUGUGUUUUCAUAUCGGGUUAAUUUAGAUUGGCUUCUUCCGACAGUAUGGUUUCGGCUUCUCAACGGCUCGGCCUUGUUUUCUCUUUGUGGUGGGGUCUAGUUUGGAUCAUGUUGCUGCUCUACUUCUGAUUUCGUACGUGUUAUUAUUAGUACGUGGAUCAUGUUGCUGCUCUACAACUAUGUAAUAACUAAUAAGUGAACUUUUUUUGAGAUCAUAUUGCUGAACCUAGACCGAUUGAAGAGUAUACAUAACAAAAGAAAAAAAAACAAAUAAGGCCCAAAGUCCAAUCCAUAAAAUGGCCCGUUGAAAUGAAAACCCUAAUCCUCAAACUCUCUCUAUAUAUCUUUCUUUCCUUUAAUUUCGACAGAAGCCGAAGUUCCUUUUCUCGCCGUUUUCUUUGUUUCUUCAAGUAGCCUUCUAUUAUCGGUGCGAUCACAAGUUUUUUUAAUUAUGUUCUUCUUUUUCUUUGAAAUCGGUGCGAUCGGGGAUGAAUGUUUAAUAUUUGCUGAAUUUCGAUGAUUAUUUGUUAAAUUUAAUCACCAUCUUUCGACUGAGAUCCCAUCCGAUUCGUUUUUUUACUAUAAUGCUCUGUCUUUUUAUUUUUCGUGAUCGAUUUUUAUUAUUAUAAUGCCAUCGGUAUCUGAUGCUUCGACUAUUCAAUGUUUGGGUGUCUCGUUAACGUGGCAGAAAUUGAAGGAACAGGCCUUUGCGACACUGUUUGCUUUCUUAAAUCAUAAGCUCUCAGUUACUUUUUUCCUGUGCAUAUUUGUUUUUUUUACAAUUUUUUUUGAAUCCUUUCUUUAUCUUGCUAUAUCGUAUAGCUUUCGUGUUUUUUUAAUAUGUAAUUGUUAUUUUUUUAGUAUAAGAAAUUUAUUAUUUGGUUUUUGGAUCAAAUCAUUCAGACGAGCUAAUUAUAAUGAUUUUUUUAUUUCUGAAUGAAAAUAAUGAAUUUUAAUUUAUAAAUUUCUGUUAAUAAAAAUAGAAUUAAUUAUAUUUGUUUGUUAUUGUUUGUUUGUAGAUUAUGUUGGAUGUAGAAUUAUAUUAUUUUAAUAAUUUGUUUUAUGGAAUUGAGGUAUAUAUUUUUUCUGUCACUUAUUAUGUUUUUGAUUGGAGUGAUUUUGUAUUUAGUAAUAUCUAUCAAAUCAAAAAGCUAUUGUUAGUUUUAGUUAAGGGUUAGGGUUAGUUGUUGCAGGAUGUUUUGUUUCUAACCAAGUGAUUGAUAGAUUAUUUUGCCGAAUGUUAUCACUUUAGGAGAUGAUUUUAAAUAUGAUCAUUUUUUAUUCGGGUGAAAUUGACAAUUAAUGUCGAUAUCAUUGACAAUUAAUACGUAUCUUAUAAGGUCGAUGGAUAUUACAAAAUUACAUAAUUUCAAUUACCUACGUAUUACGAUUACUAAUGGAAAUUUUUUGUUUUGAUAAUAUGUUUUUCAAUUUUUUUUGUUUUGAAUUUUGAAAUCGACGAAUUCGAUUCUCCAAAAGUUAUCGAGGUUAAUCAGAUAAGUCCAGGUGAUAAAGUUACAACGAGAAGGUGGUAUUUGCGUUUCGAUGAUCUGCCUGUACAGGCGUUUUGACGAGAUGGCUAUAUAUGUUAUGGACAGAUUAAUUUUACAGAAAGGAAAUAUCAGAAAAUCAUGUGAUGUGAUGUAUUUUUGAUAACCAAAGAUCGUUUAAAUUUAACAUAUAUAAGGUAUAUAAUAUAUUUAAAUUUACUAGAUUUAAUUAUCAUUGUAUAUGUCUGUUGUUGACUGAUGAUUUACAACUGGAUUUAUUCUAAUUUUAUUGGAAACUCUUUUUAUUCGGUAAUUUUUUUACCGUCGUUAAAAAAUCUUAUCAGAGAUUAGAUAUGAUUUACGAGAUGUAAUUUUUUUUUCAUAAAGAAUGUACCUCAUAAGUACCUUCAACCAGAUCAGUUUUUUUUAAAGGAAAAAAAAAACAUUCAUCACUCAUCACACAAGUUUGAUAUCUCAGUGUACGAACCAAGAUGAGUGAUGUGCUGUGCUGCCUUCCAUUCCAUCAAUGGACGCACACUGCAACCAAGCAAGUUGCAACGACCCAAGAUCGAUCUCUCAUUUACUUGUUGUUUGUUGAGUCGUGAGUUGUUUUUGGUCCUGACGAAGACUGAGUGAGGUUUUUAUGAUUAAUUAACACAAGCAAAAAAAGAAAAACAUGCAGAGACAAGUUGUAUUUAUUCUAAUGUCAAAGAUAAUGACAUGGUAUGAUCUUUUGGUAACACAAAAUUGGUCCCAAACAUCACUUGCCUUUGAUGAUAUUAUUAAUAUAGAUAUGUCUUAGUAUGCAUGCCUGAAUGGUUUUAUUCUGUCCGUUGUUUUAGCUACAUAUUAUUCUCUCAUUCUCACAUACAAGCUCGAUUGGGUUUUAUUUUAUCAUUAAUCCCUCACCCAAUGUUCGAUCACACUUGUUAUGGUUUUCCAAUUCAUCAACAUAUAUUGAUUGGAAACACACAACAAUUAUUCAACAAUUCGCAUGUGCAUUAAUUAAUAUCCUCUUUGAUCGACUGUAGUAGAUCGAUUUACAGCAGUAACUAGCGGUAUCGUCGUCGAUCGAGUUCUACAAAUUAAGGUUGGUUUCAACUUUGAAGUCAAGGGUUCAGAUUGAUGAUCAGGUCAAUGAGAAUUCAGAAUUCAGAACUAUUAUUGAAUCGAUUCGACGAUUCUCCUCUCCAUGACUCUCCUCCAUUGGUGGUAGAAUAUAAAAAACAGUGUUUGUGCAGGAAUUGUUUCCAGUCAAAUGUGUGUGUAAAUAAUUUUGCGCAAACACCCCUGUAGUUUUCUUCCUUUUUAUGAAGUAAAGAGCUAGAUGCAAUUUAAAUCUGACAAAGUUGGUCGAUCGACUCUCCACCGUUGGAUGUGAAACCAAAACAGUGGGUAACCGAUAGUGCUACACGUGACAUCACGUGGGAAUUUAGUUUUGUUUAGUUGAGGACUUGAUAGUUGAGACUUGGCCUAGUUUGGUUUGGUGGGAAUGUGGGACCCAAACCAUUCCUCGAACGCUACAACUACUUGGUUCGUUUACAAAUAUCUAUUCUACAACUACAAGUAGUAGCAGUAGUAGUAAGUCGGACGACAUAAACCAAAACUCAAACUAUAUUAUUAUAACCACAAUGGUAGACGUCGACCGGCGUAUGGCAGGUUUAAACCAAGCACACACAGCCGCUCUCCGGCGAUUGUCUAAUCGCGCUUCUUCAUCUUCAUUUUCUUCUUCUUCCGUCGUCAACGCAACUGCCAACACUUCUUCCCCAGCUAUUCUUCGUAAUAGCGUUGUGAAAUCCUUCCUGCCUUUAGCGGAAACGAUCCUCACUCACUUCCGUUCCUCGGGAGUCACUGUUCACCCGGGUCUCUCUGCGUCCGACUUUGAUGUUCUUGAGGCUGACUUCUCCUUCCAGUUUCCUCCCGAUCUUCGCGCUGUACUCUCCCUUGGUCUGCCUUCGGGGCCUGGUUUCCCGGACUGGAACAUCAGUUCCUCCAACGCUACCCGACGAAGACUGAAGUCAUCUUUGGAUCUUCCGAACGCCGCUGUUUCGCUACAGAUUACACGCAACGGAUUCUGGAGUAAGAGUUGGGGUGUUCGUCCGUCCGAUUCUGAUCGCGCGGUUCAGAUUGCGAGGACAGCGCUGACGAGAUGUCCUGUUCUUAUACCGUUGUUCGAUCGGUGUUAUCUACCCGCCUUCCCUUGUCUUGCUGGGAAUCCGGUGUUUAUGAUCGGUGACUCCAAGAUCUCCAUUGCCGGAACAGAUCUCAUGAAUUUCUUCCAACGUCGGUCGACUCUCUUCUCCACGCCUUUAUCGCCUCCUCCCAAUGCAUCUCUUCGUAUUCCGCCCAGGAAAUCGACCUCCAAGACGCCGAGAUGGAUCGACUUCUGGAGCGGAGCUGCGUCAUUUUCACGUCGGAAGAGAAAAUCGUCAUCGUGGUCGUCUUCGUCGUCUUCUUCGUCGUCUUCAUUGUCAGAUCUUUCAUUAUCCCCUUCACCUGAGGCGUACGUGGAGAUACGCUCGUCGAGAGUUCCAGAGUGGGUGGGGAACUAUCUAGGUGUUAUAAGCUCAGCUCUGAAAGACGGCGGUUGGGAGUCGUCGGAGGUAGACGAAAUGGUGCAUCUAUCAACGGCAUGCGAUGGGGGGGAAUCUUCGUCGGAGGUUAUAGACACUCAAGCAGCAUUCGAUUCUCUAUUACUGAAUACAGAUAAAUUCUCUGGAGAGUUACGUAGAGCAGGGUGGAGCUCCGAUGAUGUCUCUGAUGCACUUUGCUUUGAUUUCGGGAAAGUAAAGGAGAAGAAGAGAGUAACGUUACCGCCCGAUAUCGUUCAAAAGAUCAACGAACUCGCAGCGGCUGUUUGCUAAAAUGUCAACACUAAAACUCAGAGCGGUAACCUUAUCCACAAGCCACAGCACGGCUGCACGGGAAACAAAAUCCGGCAUGUUCGAUCGAACUUGCUUGCUUCUAAGUUCUAUCUCCCUCUCAACCUCUCUCCUCCAUUUCCUGGAACUCGAACUUUCUAUAUUUUUUUUUAUUUUUCCCUAAAUCAUGGGGUGUAAAAAUCGGAUUUUUUUUAAAAAAAAUGAAAAAUACACAGUUUAUAAUAAACCCUAAUUGAGUAAUUAAUCAUAUGUAAAUAUGUAAUCAAGUGAUUUCCUUUUUCUUCCUCUUCCGGAUGUUAAAACAUAAAACAAGUACAAGUUCCAACUUGCAACCACACGCGCGGGUGGCCUGAUUUCGAAAAAAGCGUGGCGAUGGAUUUCAUUACUAUCGAUGUUUUUCAUUUUUUUUUCUUUAUCUGGGCAAUCUGCAGCUUUACUUUUGGUUGGAGUUUGAUCGACCUGCGGUAGGUUCCAUCGGUUCUUACUGCGGUUUAAACUGAUUUCUAGAUUAAUUUAUUGACGCAAUCAGACAAUUAGUGAUCGAUCUGAGUUUUUUGUUUUUAAUAAUGCAGAAGACAUUAAUAAAAAAGUGUAUCACAAUGUGAAAACCUGCCGUCGGUGAAGACUGAAGAGUGAAGACCUCCCUCUCUCCGGCAAGUCAAAUUGUGAAAUUGUCAAAUCUAAUUUCCUCCGUAUGCAAGAUUGCUUCUUAACCUUGAUUAAUUGGUUCCCACAGACCGACAUAAUGAUCAGUUGAUCACGUGGGUUGGGGGACCGAUAAUGCGACAUUUCUGCAGUGAUUUUCCGACGACGCAACAGGAUUACUAAACCUGUUUGAGAAGUCAUGGCUCGUGCGAUGGUAAUAUAUUGUACGUCAAUCCACAUGCAUGCGUGAAAAUUGAAACCCAUAAUUUCAUAAAUAUAUACGAACACAACACAUCGAUCUAUCUCUAUUUCUCUAACUAUAUAUUGACGAUCGAUCUGUCUAUCUGAUCUUCCCAGCUAUAUAUUUCAAUAUUUUUAUGUGUUUUUACAUGUUAGAUAUUGUUAGAUCGGGAUUGAUUCAUGUUUGAGGUUGGCUAUGACAUUACUUGAAUAGAUCUAUGAGAAUACAAAUGAUACAUCGAUACCGUACAAACUUAACAGACUGUGUGCCGCAUAUAAGCCAUAGCAAUAGACAGAUUGGUCUGUAAGCUUAGCUGUUAUUUUCUAUUGAUUUCAGGAACAUUUAUCUGACCGGUGUCAAAUCAAAACUCAUCGUUCCGGCCAUCUUCCUAUUUAUCACCAACUCAAUAAGGAAAUUUAAUAUAUAUAAAAAAGGACAUUCCGAUCAGACUAUUAGUGGCCCAAUUGGACUCGUAUUCAGGCCCAAGUACCCAGGACACAAAUAAUGAAGCAAAGGGAAGUUCGACAUCAUCUCGUUCCCGGCCCAAAUCCAUGGAGGAGUAAGUCAAUUAGAUUUUAUACAAUUAACAAGCCAAAACCAGGCCCACAAAACACACACAACCAUUGUAAAUUUAAACUCCAAAAAGUUAUUAGACUGAUUAAGUGCGUAUUUCAAUUUAGCAUUUAUGAUGAUCGUACCGUGUACUCGACACUGACUCCAUAAUCCUUAAGGCGAUGGGUGUGUCAAUGUCAUGUAUGUGUGGGCUCGCUCUUAAUGUUCUGGGUAUUUAAUUUAAAUGGAAUUUGUCGGGUGAUGGUAAGACCAUGAGCACGAUGAGCGCAUGCCAAGAAUGGACCCAACCCAUUCGUGUCCGAUCGAUUUUCUGGUUUCUUUAUUGCUAUACAUAUAUUUACUACAUUAUUAAAUAAUUAGAUUGCGAUUUAUGAAUCUCUCUCUCCAUGCACAGAUUCGUGUCUUGUGGGCACUGACCAUGUAAAUAUAUACAUAUUUUGCAAAUAUUAAAAAAGUUAAUUUUCUGAAAUAGACAUCAAGAGGUUUGGUCUGGUUGAAAAAUAAAAUGUGGUCUAGUUGAAAUUAUGGUUUUUACAAUAUCGACUUUCUUUUUAUUUAGCUAUCAUUUUUAAUGUUUUAGCUAAGAAUUAGACAUCAAGAGGUUUCUCUUCAAAAAUUGCAUAGUAAUAAUUUUCAAUUACAAGCCAUAUUCUUUUUAAAAGAUAUCAACUCUGAAAAAAAUAUAUUCUCUAGUCUUUUAAUAUAUACAGGUACAACUACAUUUUCUAUUCAUUACUGAUUUACUAUUUUUGCUAAUUAUUAACUUACAAUUUACAUGCAUGAGUCUGAUCUGGCUGUCUGUGUCUGUAAACGUGGCAAAUCUGGGUACAAGAGACCAUGUGUCAUGCUGUGGACUUUUGAAAUUAAAAGAGAAUUCUAUAAAGAUUAAGAGAUAAUAUUUCGACUACGGUUUGAAACCUUCUUGGGCCUGCUACACCUACAGUUAUAUAUCUUAUCGGGCUCCUAGCUAGAAAUAGGGGGGAAUGUUAAACAUAGAUAUGGACAUGUUAGAUCAAAUAUUUCCUAGCUAAUAUAUAUAUAAUAAUCAAUUUCCUUCCAAAUUGACUGUUCUUUGCAAUUUCAUUUUUUACCAGAUGGAUUAGUGAAAGAUUAAUUACUAGAAAAUCAGAAAACAAUUUUUUACCGACCAUUCAAUUAUUUAUAAAAGAGUGUUCAUUUUACUCUGACGAUUCUUUAAGUUCUGGGUCGGACUGAUGAAAACUCAAGCUUAUUUGACAUUAUGGAAGUGGGUGUAGCCUAUAGCACAAGCAAGGGUCUCAGACCCAAAUCCGAUAAUUGGGUUAUCAAAUCCAAGGCCCAAACUUGUAUAUAUAUAUAUAGGAUCCGCUUCCGGUACGGUUGGGUGUUCUGGCGAGAACACUACCGGAACAGACUGUCAGACCUCAAGCAGAGGUCGCGGGUGUUCCGGUGAAGUUCGGUGUACGGAGGACGUGCGGUUCGUCCCCCGUGCCGUCGGAUGACGAUUCUGUGUCAUUUGACGAUUCAGCUGCACUGGGUGUAGGUGCGGUCUGCCGCACCUGAAACCCAGUAUAUAUAUAUAACACUGAUUUUCUAUACAUAUAGUCUAUAGCAUCUUUUGUAAUAUAUUAUUUUAGGUCGUUAGUAUUUUGUACAAUUGUAUUCCUUGUAUAAUAUGUAAUAUUCCUUCAAUAUAUUUAUAAAUUUACUCUUCUCCUCGUGUUCUG
rnacentral:lncRNA from 1 species